UUGCUCACUAGCGUGGCACCAAUGCAGCCAGUGUGCAAAAUUACCCAAAAUACAACUUUGUCCUCUAAUUUACAGGUUAUGGUUUUCUAAAACACUGCAAUCGGGUAAAUGUUAAUUGGUAAUCUUAAUCGCAAAUUUUACUGACUUUCUUAAAGGGUUUUUUCUGAAUGCCUUUUUAAAAAUGUUUGUCUAGUCGGCAAGGAAGUGUUAAGACUGUUCCUAUGGGCCCGGAAAAGUCGCCAUUUUUGAAGAUAAAAUUUUGUGCUUGAAUUACCUUAAAUAAUGUUUAGGAUGACUUUAAAUACCGUUGGAGAUUUUUUGACUGCCAGUGUGCUAAAGAUUAGCUACAAAAAUUAAUUCCUACAAAAAUGAAAAACAACCUAAAACGAUAAAAAAUUUCGCUAUUUUUCAAGGAAAAUUGUAUUCCUUAGAAACUGUUACGGUCCUUAAUGUAGGUUUUUGAUAACGAUUAAAUCUAGUUAAAAGUCCUGGACACUUGUUGGCUUUAAAGAGUGAUGAAAAUGUAAGGUAUAAGCAUGGAAUAAGUGGCAUUUUAAAAUUGAAACAGAUUGAAGAAAUGAUUAUUCAUUAAAAGAUAAGCCUAUAGGCUUGGAACAAUUGUUAUCAAAAAAUAGUUUUAAUUUUGAUGACGUUUGAACGUGAUUGACAAUCAAAGUGCCAGUAAUUAGCUGUAAAUAUAGGCAAAGAUAGGGUAAAAGUUUUUCAUUUUUAAAGGAAAUGUCGCGUUCUUGAGAAUUGUUGAAAAUAUAUAUGGAAGACCUUAAAUAUUGUUUGCAAGUGAUCAACAAACCAUGUACCAGUGUAAAGUGGUACCCUUUGUGUAAGCCUGUAGAUUUGGCAAAAUUUCCACUUUUGAAGGAAGUUUGCUUUGCUUACAAAAUAUUGAAAAUUGUUAAAAAUGACUUCUCAUACUGUUUUCAAAUGAUUGACAAUCAAAGUGCUAUAAAAUAACAAGAAAUUCGGCAAAUAUUGGAAUAAGAAAUUUUUUGGACAGGUAAAACUAUAGCCUUGGAAACUUUUUUCAUCUAAAAACAGGUUAAGCUGCUUCCCUUUAAUAAGAAAAAUUAAGAAUUGGAUUGGGUCAUGAAACAAGAGUCAUUUUUCGUAAAACCUCCAGCUUUUCUGACUCAACGAUUUUCUAUCAAAUAGUAAAGCUUUAGACAAAUCGGCAAUUUUUCAAAACUUUCUUCGUCUUGAAACAGGCGAAGCGGCUUCUUUAUGAUCAGAAUAGACAAGAAUUAAAUUAUGUUCUAGAAUAAGAGUGAUUUUGUCGAAAAAUUAACGGCAUUAUAGACCGGACAGUUUUUGAUCAAUUAUUAAGACUAUAGGCCUCGUUUAUAUGUUCUGUUCUGUUUUAUUAACCUCGCAUUGACAUGAAUUAGAUGAAUAUGGACGAUAAUAGAGUUUGCAUUUAUUUUAUUACGCUGUUUUAACUGGGGACGAGCAGCGAUAUCUCGAUAAAGAUGAACCCACUAGCCAAAGCAGUGGGAAGUCCACUUUUUGACCCUUCAUAACACGAGGGAAACACGCUACAAGCAUUCAGGGAUUUUAUAGACUUGUGGGAAAUGUGGUAUGAACUGCUGGCCUCAAUGGGUGAACUGAAAGAGGAUACAUCAGAUGCCAGUAUGUAGGAACACAAUAAAGCAAAAGUACCAGAAAUCUCAAAACCAGAUAUGUUUGCACCAUCAGUUUAAUCAACUCAAACAGGAACCAGCGAUGCCUAUGGAAAUGAAUGGCUGCUGCGUAUUUGGGGUUCCAAGGAACAAUGCCGUGUGCAAUUCAAAGAUCUCAAAAGAUACAAUUGACUCCUUGUCCAACGUAGAAGAAGAAGUAGCUUGUAGCAAUGACAGUUGCUGGUGUAUGUGGUAUAAAAUGUGUCAAAGUCAACAUGGUCUUCCAUGGGACUAAAAAGCCAAGGGAUCCUUGGACCCGCUGCUCAGACAUAACGUUAAGCGGAAAUUCAUCUGGUAAUCUAUUGACAGGUGCUUCAGAUUUUUCUCAAUCUUCAUGACUAGAUGUUCACAGUCACGAUGAAAUAUUAAUUAAAUGGGACAUAGAACGUAUUUGCACCGAAGGAAGCAAGGGCGAAAUCAUUACGAGAAAAAUGUAAUCUUAAUGAACUGGGAGGGAUUUUUAAAACGUGACAUCACAGAUAAGCGAUUUUAAGAGCUCAUUUGAAUUUUUUCUCGCUACUGAGUUGAAAGAUUGAGAGGAUAAGCCAUGGAUUGCCCAAUAUCUUUAAAAGCUGUUUUCAAAAGAAAGUUAAUGAGGGUGUUUUACCGAGAUUAGAAGGUCAACGUCUAGCAAGGGACAAAAUUGAUUAUUUUAUGGAUCAACCUUCAUACCGCUAAGCUCUUGAUUCUGACGCUAAAUUUCUUGAGAUAAGAGAGAGAAUUUCUACGCACAUGGUAGAAAUAGCCAUUUACUCUUAAAAUUCAAAUUCUGAAAUGGUUUUCUUACAGGUUGUAUUAUCUUUUCAGAAAACUUAGUCACCUGCUAAAAGUCAAUUGGCAAAUUUCUUCAAAUUUUAUCGGCAAUCUUUCGCCACAAUCGUUCUUAAAUGUUAAGAGAGACUAA